GGGCAUUUGGCGCAGUGGUAGCGCGCACGCUUUGCAUCAUAUCUAUUCCCCUAUGAUUGUUGCGUGAUGUCCAGGGUUCAAUCCCCUGAAUGUCCA
rnacentral:tRNA from 1 species